GACGAACGCUGGCGGCGUGCUUAACACAUGCAAGUCGAACGGAAAGGCCCUGCUCUUGUGGGGUGCUCGAGUGGCGAACGGGUGAGUAACACGUGAGUAACCUGCCCUUGACUUUGGGAUAACUUCAGGAAACUGGGGCUAAUACCGGAUAGGAGAUCCUGCUGCAUGGUGGGGGUUGGAAAGUGUCGGCGGUUGGGGAUGGACUCGGGGGUUAUCAGCUUGUUGGUGGGGUAGUGGAUUACCAAGGCAUUGACGGGUAGCCGGCCUGAGAGGGUGAGCGGCCACAUAGGGACUGGGGAACGGCCCGGACUGCUACGGGGGGCAGCGGUGGGGAAUAUAGCACAAGGGGCGGAAGCCGGGUGCAGGAGCGCCGCGUGCGGGAUGACGGCCUUCGGGUUGUAAACCGCUUUCGCCUGGGACGAAGCGUGAGUGACGGUAAUGGGUAAAAAAGCACCGGCUAACUACGUG
rnacentral:rRNA from 1 species